CACUGUCGUUGCAAUGUUGAUACAUCAAAGAUGUUAUUUCAAUAAUGUGUUUUACGGUGUGACAGUGUUUGAGGGCGAAGCAAAAAAGUUUUGGCAUUAGUAUCUAUAUCCAAAACAGGACAAAACAACCCGAAGUUAGCACGCAGACGGAACUGUAUCAAAGCAUUCUAAUUUUGGACAUUUGAUCCGCCUAUAUAUUGAACGUGGGAAAUAUAACGCAAAUUGAUGUAAACAGAACAUUGUGACGUCAUAUUCAGCGUCGUUAUUUAGCAAAUUUACAAACAUAGCGUUUGAACCACAACAAAAAACAUGGCGUUAAUCGUGGAGUGAUUAUAUAUGAUUAAGAAAAUAAGGUUCACAUGCUUUUACGGAUUUUAUGUGUAACAUCUCAGAACGACGUGAACUAGGGUAGACGAGAUUCAAAAUGGAGGAAUACAUGUCCACGCGCUAAUAUUCGAAUCGACGCCAUUGGUACCAAACUUUUCAAGUUCCAUAGAUGAAGGGGAUCAUGAUAUUAACAGUUUUUGUUGUAGCAUUGAUGUUGGUAGAUGAGGGAACGACAGAUAUGACCACCAUUAGUAUAACUACGGCUGCACCAACAG